rnacentral:rRNA from 1 species
AUUGAACGCUGGCGGCAUGCCUAACACAUGCAAGUCGAACGGCAGCAUGGUGCAGUUUACUGUACUGAUGGCGAGUGGCGGACGGGUGAGUAACGCGUAGGAAUACACCUUUAGGACUGGGAAAACUUGUGGAAACGCGAGAUAAUACCGGAUAAUAUCUGAGGAUAAAAGCUGGGGACCGUAGGGCCUGGCGUCUAGAGAGUAGCCUGCGUCUGAUUAGCUAGUUGGUUGGGUAAGGGCCUACCAAGGCGACGAUCGGUAGCUGGUCUGAGGGGAGGGACAGCCACAGUGGGACUGAGGGACGGCCCAGACUCCUACGGGAGGCAGCAGUGGGGAAUAUUGGACAAUGGGGGGAACCCUGAUCCAGCGAUGCGGCGUGUGUGAAGAAGGCCUGAGGGUUGUAAAGCACUUUAGGUGGGGAGGAGGAUUUAUUGGUUAAGAGCUGAUGAAUUGGACGUUACCCACGGAAUAAGCACCGGCUAACUCCGUGCCAGCAGCCGCCGUAA